GACGAACGCUGGCGGCGUGCCUAAUACAUGCAAGUCGAGCGGAGUUAUUCCUUCGGGGAUAACUUAGCGGCGGACGGGUGAGUAACACGUAGGCAACCUGCCUGUAAGAUCGGGAUAACUACCGGAAACGGUAGCUAAGACCGGAUAAUCAGCUGGAUCGCAUGAUUCGGCUGGGAAAAGCGGAGCAAUCUGCUGCUUACAGAUGGGCCUGCGGCGCAUUAGCUAGUUGGUGGGGUAACGGCUCACCAAGGCGACGAUGCGUAGCCGACCUGAGAGGGUGAACGGCCACACUGGGACUGAGACACGGCCCAGACUCCUACGGGAGGCAGCAGUAGGGAAUCUUCCGCAAUGGACGCAAGUCUGACGGAGCAACGCCGCGUGGGUGAUGAAGGUUUUCGGAUCGUAAAGCUCUGUUGCCAGGGAAGAACGCUUAGGAGAGUAACUGCUCUUAAGGUGACGGUACCUGAGAAGAAAGCCCCGGCUAACUACGUGCCAGCCGCCGCCGUAACAC
rnacentral:rRNA from 1 species